UACGGAGGAUCCAAGCGUUAUCCGGAUUUAUUGGGUUUAAAGGGUGCGUAGGCGGCCUGUUAAGUCAGGGGUGAAAGACGGUAGCUCAACUAUCGCAGUGCCCUUGAUACUGAUGGGCUUGAAUGGACUAGAGGUAGGCGGAAUGAGACAAGUAGCGGUGAAAUGCAUAGAUAUGUCUCAGAACACCGAUUGCGAAGGCAGCUUACUAUGGUCUUAUUGACGCUGAGGCACGAAAGCGUGGGAAGCAAACAGG
rnacentral:rRNA from 1 species